ACUCCUACGGGAGGCAGCAGUGGGGAAUAUUGCACAAUGGGCGCAAGCCUGAUGCAGCAACGCCGCGUGAGGGACGACGGCCUUCGGGUUGUAAACCUCUUUUAGUAGGGAAGAAGCGAAAGUGACGGUACCUGCAGAAAAAGCACCGGCUAACUACGUGCCAGCAGCCGCGGUAAUACGUAGGGUGCAAGCGUUAUCCGGAAUUAUUGGGCGUAAAGAGCUCGUAGGCGGUUUGUCGCGUCUGCUGUGAAAACUGGAGGCUCAACCUCCAGCCUGCAGUGGGUACGGGCAGACUAGAGUGCGGUAGGGGAGAUUGGAAUUCCUGGUGUAGCGGUGGAAUGCGCAGAUAUCAGGAGGAACACCGAUGGCGAAGGCAGAUCUCUGGGCCGUAACUGACGCUGAGGAGCGAAAGCAUGGGGAGCGAACAGGAUUAGAUACCCUGGUAGUCCAUGCCGUAAACGUUGGGAACUAGAUGUAGGGUCCAUUCCACGGAUUCUGUGUCGCAGCUAACGCAUUAAGUUCCCCGCCUGGGGAGUACGGCCGCAAGGCUAAAACUCAAAGGAAUUGACGGGGGCCCGCACAAGCGGCGGAGCAUGCGGAUUAAUUCGAUGCAACGCGAAGAACCUUACCAAGGCUUGACAUAUACCUGAAAAGGCUGGAAACAGUCUCCCCGCAAGGCAGGUAUACAGGUGGUGCAUGGUUGUCGUCAGCUCGUGUCGUGAGAUGUUGGGUUAAGUCCCGCAACGAGCGCAACCCUCGUUCUAUGUUGCCAGCACGUAAUGGUGGGAACUCAUAGGAGACUGCCGGGGUCAACUCGGA
rnacentral:rRNA from 1 species